UGACGAGCGGCGGACGGGUGAGUAAUGUCUGGGAAACUGCCUGAUGGAGGGGGAUAACUACUGGAAACGGUAGCUAAUACCGCAUAACGUCGCAAGACCAAAGUGGGGGACCUUCGGGCCUCAUGCCAUCAGAUGUGCCCAGAUGGGAUUAGCUAGUAGGUGGGGUAACGGCUCACCUAGGCGACGAUCCCUAGCUGGUCUGAGAGGAUGACCAGCCACACUGGAACUGAGACACGGUCCAGACUCCUACGGGAGGCAGCAGUGGGGAAUAUUGCACAAUGGGCGCAAGCCUGAUGCAGCCAUGCCGCGUGUAUGAAGAAGGCCUUCGGGUUGUAAAGUACUUUCAGCGGGGAGGAAGGCGAUAAGGUUAAUAACCUUGUCGAUUGACGUUACCCGCAGAAGAAGCACCGGCUAACUCCGUGCCAGCAGCCGCGGUAAUACGGAGGGUGCAAGCGUUAAUCGGAAUUACUGGGCGUAAAGCGCACGCAGGCGGUCUGUCAAGUCGGAUGUGAAAUCCCCGGGCUCAACCUGGGAACUGCAUUCGAAACUGGCAGGCUAGAGUCUUGUAGAGGGGGGUAGAAUUCCAGGUGUAGCGGUGAAAUGCGUAGAGAUCUGGAGGAAUACCGGUGGCGAAGGCGGCCCCCUGGACAAAGACUGACGCUCAGGUGCGAAAGCGUGGGGAGCAAACAGGAUUAGAUACCCUGGUAGUCCACGCCGUAAACGAUGUCGAUUUGGAGGUUGUGCCCUUGAGGCGUGGCUUCCGGAGCUAACGCGUUAAAUCGACCGCCUGGGGAGUACGGCCGCAAGGUUAAAACUCAAAUGAAUUGACGGGGGCCCGCACAAGCGGUGGAGCAUGUGGUUUAAUUCGAUGCAACGCGAAGAACCUUACCUGGUCUUGACAUCCACAGAACUUAGCAGAGAUGGUUUGGUGCCUUCGGGAACUGUGAGACAGGUGCUGCAUGGCUGUCGUCAGCUCGUGUUGUGAAAUGUUGGGUUAAGUCCCG
rnacentral:rRNA from 1 species